rfam:Myotis lucifugus cont2.20622, whole genome shotgun sequence.
UAUUUUUUAAAAAUGUAUUAUGGUGCUCGCUUCGGGAUGAUGCAGAGAUUAGCUUGGCCCCUGCGCAAGGAUGACACGCAAAUUCGUGAAGCGUUCCAUAUUUUU